GCCUACGGGGGGCAGCAGUGAGGAAUAUUGGUCAAUGGUCGGGAGACUGAACCAGCCAAGCCGCGUGAGGGAGGAAGGUACAGAGUAUCGUAAACCUCUUUUGUCAGGGAACAAAGGCGGGGACGUGUCCCCGGAUGAGUGUACCUGAAGAAAAAGCAUCGGCUAACUCCGUGCCAGCAGCCGCGGUAAUACGGAGGAUGCGAGCGUUAUCCGGAUUUAUUGGGUUUAAAGGGUGCGCAGGCGGUCUGUUAAGUCAGCGGUCAAAGCCAGGGGCUCAACCCCGGCCCGCCGCUGAAACUGGCAGU
rnacentral:rRNA from 1 species